UACGGAGGGGGCUAGCGUUGUUCGGAUUUACUGGGCGUAAAGGGCGCGUAGGCGGCGUGGUAAGUCACUUGCGAAAUCUCUGAGCUUAACUCAGAACGGCCAAGUGAUACUGCUGUGCUAGAGUGCAGAAGGGGCAAUCGGAAUUCUUGGUGUAGCGGUGAAAUGCGUAGAUAUCAAGAGGAACACCUGAGGUGAAGACGGGUUGCUGGGCUGACACUGACGCUGAGGCGCGAAAGCCAGGGGAGCAAACGGG
rnacentral:rRNA from 1 species